rnacentral:rRNA from 1 species
CCUACGGGUGGCAGCAGUGAGGAAUAUUGGUCAAUGGGCGCUAGCCUGAACCAGCCAAGUCGCGUGAAGGAUGACUGCCCUAUGGGUUGUAAGCUUCUUUUAUAUGGGAGUAAAGUGCAGUAUGUAUACUGCUUUGCAUGUACCUUAUGAAUACGGAUCGGCUAACUCCGUGCCAGCAGCCGCGGUAAUACGGAGGAGCCGAGCGUUAUCCGGAUUUAUUGGGUUUAAAGGGAGCGUAGGCGGGUUGUUAAGCCAGGUGUGAAAGUUUGCGGCUCAACCGUAAAAUUGCAGUUGAUACUGGAAGCCUUGAGUACGGUAGAGGUAGGCGGAAUUCGUGGUGUAGCGGUGAAAUGCUUAGAUAUCACGAAGAACUCCGAUGGCGAAGGCAGCCUGCUGGACUGUAACUGACGCUGAUGCUCGAAAGUGUGGGGAUCAAACAGGAUUAGAUACCCGAGUAGUC